CAGGAGAAGCAUUGUACUUGGAAACAACAACAAAAUACGAUGACCAGCCACGAACCGGUUGGGAGGAAGUCCCAUCUCUGACACCAUGGCCUUGUGACUGGAGCUCGUGUUCUAAAAGCUGGCUUUGAUCUGUAAAGAAGUAAAGAAGAAUGAGAACAUCUCAUUGAGCAUUUUCCCUUCCGUGCAAUUGAAGAGAACAGAUGCCAGCUGAACCCUGUCUUCUCCCCAAUCCAGAUGUGUCCACAGCUGCCCAAGUUCAUCACCAUUGUGAGGUCCCACCUGUGUUCAUUUGCCAUUUGUUCCUUUCCUAUCAUUUUGAGCCUGCUUGACCUCGAAGUGGGGCAGCUGUUAGUGGAAGAGAACUCACAGCUCACCUUGGUUAGGACCGAUGACAUCAUGGAGUGAUGUCUUGACUUGUGCAUGAAUUGGACUUCAGUGAGGCAGAGUUGCACAGUCCUCAUCCUCCUUCCCUUCCACUUCCAGAGUCAACCAAGCCAAGUGGCAAGACAAAGCCUGGUGAUGACCCAAGAUGCAGUGGGUGACCUUGGCAUUUUCUGUGUCUGACCAAGCUCUAAAUGCUCCACAGCACCUGCUUCAGCCACCCUCCCCUCAUGGCCACUGGAACAAAUUGUUCAUUUAAAUUGCUUUUAUUCUUGACUCCUAACAAAGUCUGUUAUUUAUAAUUACCACACUGCAUGGAGAAAAGAGUUUGCAAUGAGAUGGGGGCAAAUAAGCCAGUGAGGAUGUUUAGAACCUGGUACUUAAGAGGAGAAGCUGGUUUCCAAUCAGGACCAUCCGUUACCCUUGCUAUAAUUGCCUAUGUGGUUCCAUAGCAUGCCUAUAGGGCAGCAUUG
rnacentral:lncRNA from 1 species